GUCACUCUUUCCUCCUCUCCUCUCCCCUCUCCUCUUCGUUCCUCUCAGCUGAUCUUCCAAACUUGGUCAUGUUCUCAGUCCUUCAGCCAAGCACUCCUGAGCUUUAAACAACACCAUCACACACACACACACACACACACACACACACACACACACACACGCACACACACACAUGCAGUCGGCUCUGGUCUUUACUCAGUUUCUAUUUCAGCUCAACUCUCUCGGGCGGCGGUCAUGGCCGGCUGCAGGAGUUACUUACAAGGACUUGCCAUCUGUGUCACUGUGCUUCUGCUGGUGUCUGGUGUGGUGAUGAUCGGUGUUGGAUUUUCCUCUGUUGAUGGCAAUGUACCAGUUGCAGAGUUGUUUGACCAAUUGUCCAAUAGCGAUGGUUUACUAGUGCUGCAGGUGUUUGGUCCAAUCACAGUGGUUCUGUCCGUUCUUGGUAUCUGCUCUGCGUCUUUGGACCAUAAACCUCUGCUGCUGCUGUUUUCUGCGAUGAUAUUCGUGGAGUUUGUGGCACUGAUGGUUGUUGCUUCACCGCUGGUUCAAGUUCAAGCUCAGAUAGACAGCACCGUGGAGGAUGUAUUUCUGAACGUCACUCCUCUUCACAGAGCUGAGGCUUAUAUCCAGAGUGAACUGAAGAAACUCCAGACCUCAGACUCCUGUUGUGGCUUGAGACACUUUGAGGACUGGGAGAACCAACUUCCUACUUCCUGUUUCUGUACACCUCCCACUUUUGACCCACAGCUCAGCGCUCAGCCUGUAAACUCCAGCUCAGAUGGAUCCUGUGUGAUGGUCAGCAGAGACGUUCCCCCUCCGGCCCCACAGACCUCAGAUAAAUUAUGGGUGCACUCCAACGUAAACAGACUCCUCACUCUGCAUAUGGCUCACCUAACUCUUUUGCACUCAGUUUUACCAUCACCACUUUCCUGCCCUGCGGUCCCAUCCUAAAGAGCUACUUGGGCUUCCCCAUAAAGGUCCGGAUUGGAAUAAUUUCAGCCUUUGCCACUAUUACAAUAACAGCCAUUUUCCUUUGUGUGGCUUUGGGUUUGGAAAAAUACUGGAAGACGCCGAAAGUAGAAGCUACCAUCGACUACAACAGAGUGAAAUACCAACCUAAACCCUCCUUCACCUGACCUCUGACCUAUCAACUAGAAUGAAGACUUUGAUAAAUAUUGUGCUUUAAAAUUCAACUCAUGAGCUUGUGAUUACGGCAUGAAAAAUCUCCCACAAGUACCACAAAAGAGAAGCACUCCAGACAGAGUGAACAUUAGAUGUGAAGAUGUGGUUUAUAUUUGAUUGAGCAAUAACUUAUCUGUGACUUCGCUAUAAAUAUUUGAUUCAAUUUAGAUGAAAUCAUAAAUGUUUGAAAAGCACACCAGCUUGGGUCAUUUUAUCACAGGUUUUCUUCAUGGAUGUUAAUAUGCUGUGUUGUGUUUCACUGUAAUUUGUUUGUUUAACGGAAAAACUAUAUAACUUAUAACUUUAUAACUUCAGAAAGGUGAGAAAAUCGAUAACUUUUACUUAUUUCUCUGAACAGUGGACUGAUUUUCAUUUGUAUUGCUGACCAUUAUUUGCACAAUGAAGACCAGUUUAUUCUG